rnacentral:sRNA from 1 species
AUAUAACUUAAAGAAACGUAACAAGGAUGUGGUUUGAUGGUGGUAUUUUUAAUCGUAUCAAUUUGAAUCAAGUUCUCGAAGAUAUAAAUUGAAGUCUUUCAGUCUGGGAAGCGUGAAGGUGAAGAGGAUCUAAACUGUAUCAAAAGAGAGAAGUGAUAGAGUUAAGUACCAAUUUAGAAGCUAAAACAUUUUCUUAGAAUAACAGAAAACAAAACAGAGUACAUCUUAACGAGCUUGAAAAAUGCUUAUACUAACAAGUUAAUGAAGAGAUUUUCGAAGAAGAAAUAUGAAGCAUGUGAAAAGUUUAGAAGGUAUGACACAUAUUGCUUAGAAAAAAAUCAUAAGAAGAUGGAAAGAGACACUGUAAGAAAAAAUGAAACAAAUAAAACGAGUGCUUGCAAAAAGAUAGGAAGAGUGAUAGCUCUCUGUAAAACAUUAU